rnacentral:rRNA from 1 species
UACCAGACUCCUACGGGAGGCAGCAGUGAGGAAUAUUGGUCAAUGGGCGGAAGCCUGAACCAGCCAAGUCGCGUGAGGGAAUAAGGCCCUACGGGUCGUAAACCUCUUUUGCCGGGGAGCAAAAAGCGGUGCGCGUACCGCAUCGAGAGUACCCGGAGAAAAAGCAUCGGCUAACUCCGUGCCAGCAGCCGCGGUAAUACGGAGGAUGCGAGCGUUAUCCGGAUUUAUUGGGUUUAAAGGGUGCGUAGGCGGACUGUUAAGUCAGCGGUAAAAAUUCGGGGCUCAACCCCGUCCGGCCGUUGAAACUGGGGGCCUUGAGUGGGCGAGAAGAAGGCGGAAUGCGUGGUGUAGCGGUGAAAUGCAUAGAUAUCACGCAGAACCCCGAUUGCGAAGGCAGCCUUCCGGCGCCCUACUGACGCUGAGGCACGAAAGUGCGGGGAUCGAACAGGAUUAGAUACCCCCGUAA